rnacentral:snoRNA from 1 species
AUCCUUUUGUAGUUCCAUGAAGAUGAUGAAUUGGGUGUUUCACACAUGUGUGUGAAAUGUGCCACCUCUCAACCUUUGUACAAAAGUCAGCACAUUACCUGGCCUGACU